rnacentral:rRNA from 1 species
UAACACGUGAGUAACCUGCCCCCGAGAGCGGGAUANCCCUGGGGAACUGGGAUUAAUACCGCAUAGUAUCGAAAGAUUAAAGCAGCAAUGCGCUUGGGGAUGGGCUCGCGGCCUAUUAGUUAGUUGGUGAGGUAACGGCUCACCAAGGCGAUGACGGGUAGCCGGUCUGAGAGGAUGUCCGGCCACACUGGAACUGAGACACGGUCCAGACACCUACGGGUGGCAGCAGUCGAGAAUCAUUCACAAUGGGGGAAACCCUGAUGGUGCGACGCCGCGUGGGGGAAUGAAGGUCUUCGGAUUGUAAACCCCUGUCAUGUGGGAGCAAAUUAAAAAGAUAGUACCACAAGAGGAAGAGACGGCUAACUCUGUGCCAGCAGCCGCGGUAAUACAGAGGUCUCAAGCGUUGUUCGGAAUCACUGGGCGUAAAGCGUGCGUAGGCUGUUUCGUAAGUCGUGUGUGAAAGGCGCGGGCUCAACCCGCGGACGGCACAUGAUACUGCGAGACUAGAGUAAUGGAGGGGGAACCGGAAUUCUCGGUGUAGCAGUGAAAUGCGUAGAUAUCGAGAGGAACACUCGUGGCGAAGGCGGGUUCCUGGACAUUAACUGACGCUGAGGCACGAAGGCCAGGGGAGCGAAAGGGAUUAGAUACCCCUGUAGUCCUGGCAGUAAACGGUGCACGCUUGGUGU